rnacentral:lncRNA from 1 species
CGCUACAAGAGAUGAGUAUAUGGAAUUGACUUACACUUGCCACAAGCUAAUCAUGAUCAUCUCAAUACAAACAUACAUUCAAUCACCAUUCACAAGAGCAGGGUCCGACUACAAACGAAAUCAAAUGACAAAAAUGACGUCCAUCCUUUCUAUCCGAGGAUGCCGGAUUGGAACCCAUCCUAUAAUCGAUGAUGAAGAAGAAGAAACUCCAAAUAGAAUGAUCACCGCGCUCACGUCAAAGUAUCACUUUACGUGUACCUGCAAGUAUUGUUGUAGUAAUCUGUGAGCCACACGGACUUAGCAAACUCAUUUCCAUAGGUAUCAACACUAGCAAACCUUAAUGGGUGAGGUUUGAUUAACUCGUGAGCUGCAGCAAGCAGUAAUAAUUUAUUUGAGUGGCUAGCUUACGAGUACAAUAUUAAGAGUGGGGUGAGCUAUGCAUAAAUCGAUAUGGACUGAUAAUGAUCAAGAAGUGAUCCUGAACACCUACUUACGAGUCAAGCAUAACACCACUGUGUCUUCUCCCGGAUUUAGAACUCAUGAGAAGAGACAGUCACGGUUACGCAGACAGUUAGCAUAUUUUAGUUGAGUUUACUUCAAGUUUGCUAUGACCGGGUAUUAAACAAAGUUUCCAAGUUGCCACAUAACUACGGGCACGUCUCUCAGAAAUAUUUAACCCUCUAGAGGUGCUCCAACUCAUCCAUCACAAACUUGCCACAAGAUGCAUGGAGAACGUUGACCACGGAAAACCCGUAGUCUCCUCGGAAUCCCGUAGAAAGACCUCAACCACGAGAUAACACAAACUAUCCUCGGAAUCCCGCGCACAAGACGUUCAAGAAAGGUGAAAUAAUUCCAGCAAGGCUGCCCGACGUGCCGAUGACCCCGAUAGGAGUAGCUAUCUUAUUCUCACGGCACAUCGGAUGAGCGAUGGUUACCAUGCCAAAACAUCGAGUUGCCCCGUCUAGCGUUAAUAAGCUCCUCUGGAUUGGACCAACAGUCAUGAGAAGCACUUGCCCGUGGGUUGAUUAAUUAUCCACGGUUACUCGCAGGUCCCUAUGCUUUGGAUUAGUUAUUAAGCAAAUGUAGUACCAAUGUUGGGCCUUGCCAGAAGAGUUUUAUCCCAAAACGAAAAUCAAGGGGGUCUCCAUAACACCCCAAGCAUGUUAGGAGCGCUCAACAUGGAACAUAACACCGAUACACAAGUAACUAGGGCGGCAAAGGUGGAACAAAAUACAAAUCUAGAAGGCUACACCUUCCACCCUUUACCAAGUAUGUAGGUGCAUUAAAUUAAAUAGCAAUAAUAUGGUGAUAUAACAAGGAAUCCAUGUUGUUACAUGGGAAGCAGCUUGCACCUACAACUAGCAUUGCUAUAAGAAGGGUCGAGCAAGCGGUAACAUAGCCAAACAAGGGUUUGCUGGGAUGUGGAGGGGCUUAGAGGAUUUUCAUGGCAACGUUGUGUGGUUGGAUUCUUCCCCCCACUAUAUAAAUGGUCCUUCUUCCCAAUUGGACUAAAUCCAUCCGUUGAGCUCGUGUUCUUCCCCAUUGUUGAUGUUCUUAGAGCUUGCUAACUCGAAUCCCUCCAAUGAUUCUUGCUAGUUCUUGAGGGAAAAUAGAGAAGAGAUCUAGAUCCACAUCUCCACCAAUCACCUUCUCCUCUAUGUGAGGGGAACCCCUUAGAUCUUUAUCUUGGAGUGCUUUAUGAGCUCCUUGUUCUUCCUUUCAUAUUUCUCCACAGCUUUUGUUGUUGUGGAGGGUUUUGCGUGUGAGGGACUUGACCACUUCGCGUGUUCUUGCCAUUACAUUAGUUGCAUCGGUUUGAGUUCUCCACGGUGAUACGUGGAAGUGAGAAGUUGAGAAGCUUAUUACCCUUGGGUACUUGGUACCCCUAGAAGCUUGGUGGUGCCUCGGAGCUCAAUCAUUGUGGUGUAAACCUCCGGGGAAGCGUCGGGAUCUCCAAUUAUGUUGUGGAGAUUGCCCCGAGCAUUUGUGGUAACCUCGAAGCCAUAUGCCAUUGCGGUGAAGCUUAGUGGUGUUGUUGGGAGCCUCCAAUUAAGUUGUGGAGAUUGCUGCAACCUUGUUUGUACGGCUUCGGUGACCACCCUCAAGGGUCCCUUAGUGGAAUCAUGACAUCUUGCAUUGUGCGAGGGCGUGAGGAGAUUACGGUGGCCUUAGUGGAAUCUUGAGGAGCAUUGUGCCUCCACACCGCUCCAAACGGAGAUUAGCAUCCGCAAGGGUGUGAACUUCGGGAUACAUCGUUGUCUCCGCGUGCCUCAGUUAUCUCUUACCCGAACCCUUUACUUAUGCACUUUACUUUGUGAUAGCCAUAUUGUUUCUUGUCAUAUAUCUUGCUAUCACUUAGUUGUUUAUCUUGCUUAGCAUAAGUUGUUGGUGCACGUAGGUGAGCGUAGUUGUUUUAGGUUUUGUGCUUGACAAAUUGAACAUUAGUUUUAUUCCGCAUUCGUUCAAGCCUAAACCGUAAUUAUUUUAAAGCGCUUAUUCACCCCCCCCUCUAGGCGACAUCCAUGUCCUUUCACCAGCUCCGCGUCCCGACCUCCUCUGCACCUCGGCACAAGGCCACAGGAUGAUCACCCCCUCUUCCCCGUUAUCCCUUGCCCAUGUGCGCUUCUUAAUAUGGUGCACCUGCUGUGCUAUUUGGGCAUGUUUCAGAUUCGGCCCGUAUAGUAUUUUUUUGGUUCUGCGAAUUUGUCCAUUAUCCACUGAUUUUAAUAAUUGCAGAAAAUGCCAUAUUUUUAAAAUGCCAAUAAUUGAUUAACCGUGCAUCGCAUAUAAAAAAAUUAUAUGUAAAAUGUCCAGAAUUUUGUGUACAUUAAUAAUAUGUCACUUUCAUGCAUGUAAAAAUUAGUUAACUUGGUGCUUGCAUUGUUUUUGCGUGAUGCCAUAUUAAAAAUGACUUAAUUCAUAUCAAAAUAACCAUACAUCGGGCUUAAAACUUUAUACAUGAAAAAUGCUUAGAAUUUUAUGUAGUUUCACUAUAUCCAACUUUGGACCAUGUUAAAAACGUUUAACUUGCUAUUUGUAAUAUUUUUGCAUUAAUGUCAUAUUAAAAUGGUUUGUCUCAUAACUAAUUAACCAUAGCUCUCAUUAAAAUGUUUAGUAUAUGUAACUUGACAAGAAAAAUGUGUAGAAUAACAUGGUAGCAUUUAUUUUGCUGCUUAACAACUCUACAAUUGUGUUAUGAGCUGAAGAGUACCGAAAUCUAAUUUGCAUAUGGGGACUUUCCGGAAUUGUUAUUUGUUGUAUCGACCUCAUUUAAACUUGCCUAGCAUUUCAUGUAGUUCCACAAUAUCCUGUUCAUCCAUGUUUUAACAUGCUUGUGGCUGUCAUUUGCAUAUAUUUUGCACUCAUACCAUAUCAUCUUGUGGUGAUCAUAUCUUUUAGACCGUAUCCCCGUUUGCAAUGAUCUAUAUAUGUAGAUCGACUAGAAUGAUGUGUACAAUCACAUGGUCCACUUUAUUUUGGUGGACCAAUUUCAAAUUUAACACAUGGGGUCAUUUUGGAAAUGCUAUAUGUUGUUUCCGACCUCAUUUAAAAUGCCUAGAUAGUGUAGGUUAUUUACCCUUCACCUGUUGCCAUGUUUAAUAACAUUUAAUAUUGUCGUGUACCUAAAUGGGUGUGGAAUAAGUAAUUUAAUUAUGGAGUUUUGUCAAUAUGCAACUCGUUGCAUAUUGAGAUUCAUUUAAUGUUUAGUAAUAAAUUAUGGUGCUUUGUCGUGUCAUGCAUAAUUUAAUGGACAUGCAUCAUAAUUGCUUGCACAUCAUGUCUUGCAUAUGUUGUGGUGUUUAUCAUGUGUGAUUGUUUUUUAUCCUGAUUGUUUCUUCUCGAUAUAGUUCCGAAAGCAUUUCAGAGUGAGGAUUCGUUCGACUACGUUGGUUUGACUUAUUCAUGGAUUCGUUCUUCUUCCAAGCGGGAUCACAUGAAAGAUGAUCAUUUCCCUAGAUACCAUUACUAUCAUUGCCAUGAUAGUUGCCUCAUUUCUUUCGCAAUGUCUUUCUGCCUACCACUUGUUUAACAAGCCUCCCAACAUUACCAUGAAAAUCCUCUAACCCUUCCACAUCCCAACAAACCCUUGUUUGACUAUGUUACCGCUUGCUCAGCCUUCUUAUAGCGUUUCUAGUUGCAGGUGCAGUUGCUUCCAUGUGACAACAUGAAUUCCUUGUUAUAUCACCAUAUUAUUGCUAAUUAAUUUAAUGCACCUAUAUACUUGGUAAAAGGUGGAAGGCUUGGCCUUCUAGCCUGGUGUUUUGUUCCAUCUUUGCCGCCCUACUUACUUGUGUACCGGUGUUAUGUUCCAUAAUUGAGCGCUCCUAACAUGCUUGGGGAUGUUAUGCCCCCCCUAGAUUUUCGUUUUAGGAUAAAACUCUUCUGACAAGCCCAACAUUGGUACUAUAUUUACCCAACAUAAUAAUAUCGAACAUCGUUAUUAAAACAUAGGGUGUAAAUGACACCUUAGGAGUAAUUCAACCUAAUACAGGGGGCAAUGCUGAUGGUGCUGGUCCAAAACUAGAACAUCAUGCGGGGCCAACCCAGGGCAACUCGGGAGAUGUCUAUCAGCCACCGUAUGCUUCGCUUAUCCGUCAUAUCCUGAGAGCAAGAUACGCGGCUCCUAUCGGGAUCGUCGACACGCCAGGUGGCCUUUUUGGAUUUGUUUUACCUUUCACGAACGUGUUAUGCGAGGGAUUCCGAGGAUACUUUGGGCUACCUCGAGGUUGAGAUUUUCCACCAAGAAUCCUAGGAGAUCAUGGGUUUUCCGUGGUCGAUGUUUCUGACGCAGCUUGUGGUAGUUUGUGAUGGACUAGUUGGAGCACCCCUACAGGGUUAAAUCUUUCUGAAAGCCAUGCUCGCGGUUAAAUUGCAACUUGGAAACUUUGUUUAACACUCAGUCAUAGCUAACUUGAAGUAAACUUAAUUACAAUUUGUCAACUAUGUGCAUAACCGUGACUCUCUCCUCUCGUGAGUUCUGUAUACGAAAGAGGAUAUGUAGGGUUAUGUCUAACGUAAGUAGGUGUUCAUGAUCACUUCGAGAUCAUUAUUAGUUCACGUUCGCUUACGCGUAGAUCACCCCCUCUUAUGCUUGUACUCGUAAGUUAGCCAGUAAGAUAAAUGCUUAGUCGCUUGCUGCAGCCUCACCACUUAACCAUGCCUCACCCAUUAAGCUUUGCUAGUCUUUAUUCCUUUGGAAUGAGAUUGCUGAGUCCAUGUGGCUCACAUAUUACUACAACAACUGUUGCACGUACAGGUAAAGCGAUACUUUGACAUGAGCACGAUGAUUGUUCAUUUGGAGUUUCUUCUUCUUCUUCUUCAUCGAUCUAGGAUGGUUUCCAGGCCGAUAGCCUGGGAUAGCAAGGAUGGACAUCGUUCUUUUAUCGUUCGGUUUCGUUCAUGGUAGGACCCUGCUCUUCUACAUGGUGAUUGGACAUAUUGUUGUAUUUUGUUGUUUAUGUUGUAGCUUGUGGCGAGUGUAAGCCAAUUCCAUAUACUCAACACUUUUGUACAUGUACUUGUAAUGAUUUCUAUUCUUUCAAAACCACGAGAUGCGCAUCUAGCCCUGUCGAGGCCCUCGAGCCAAAAUGAGGAUAGGAUCUCAUCUCGGGCUACAUGAUAGUAGUGAUAUCUAGGGAAAUUAUCAUGUUGACUGAGAUCCCGGUUGGAAGAAGAACAAAUCCGCGAAGUAGACGAACUACAUAGUCAAACAAAUCCUCAAACUCCGUAGCGGUUUCAGAACUCUAACAAGAAUAAACAAUCAAGAAACAAACAAUAAACACACGAUAAACACCACAACAUAUUCGUGACAUGAUGCGUAAACAAUUAUGAUGCAUGUCCAUUUUAUUUUGCAAGACAUAGCAAAUCACAACAAUCAACUUCUCACAUUAAAUGUAGUUUAAUAUGCAAUGAGUUGCAUAUUAACGAAACUCCACAUUUGAUUUACUUAGUUCACUCCCAUUUAGGUACACACCAAUAUUAAAUGUUAUUAACAUGGCAAAAGGCGAAACAGAAAUAAACUACACUAUAUAGACAUCUUAAAUGAGGUCGGAAACAUCAUAUAGCAUUUCCGAAAUUUAGAAAUUGGUCCAAAACAUGUUUUAUAUUUAUUAAACAGCAAAAUAAAGUGAACCAUGUGAUUCUACAGUUUUUCCUAGUCAAGUGACAUAUAUGAAUCAUUUCAAUCGGAGCUGCGGUUAUUUAGUUAUUAAAUAUAUCAUUUGGCAUGGUCAAUAAAAAUUUUAAAAAAGUUCACAGAAUUUUAAAAGGUUCAGAUUUGCAAAAAAAUCAAUUAUUAUGGAAAAGUUCAACGAUUUUUGAAAAAUAUGUACAUGGAUUUUCAAAAAUUUCACAGAAUUCGAAAAAAAUUCAUUAAUUUUAAAAAAAGUUCAUCAAUUUUUAAAAACUGUUCACUGAUUUUGAAAAAAGUUCAUAAGUUUUAAAAACAGUUCACUGAAUUUGAAAAAAGUUCAUGAAUUUUAAAUUAUGUUCAUCGAUUUUUAAAAAUGUUCACGAAUUUCCAAAAAAAAAAAUCAUCGAUUUUCAAAAAAAGUUCACCAAUUUUAAAACAAAUCACGGGUUAAAAAAAAGUUAAUGAAAGAUCCCUACAUGGGCCGACCCAUUGUGGAGCGCGGCUGCUAGCUGGCGCCUGUGGUCCUAAAUAGGUCUAUCGGACCACACCAGCCAAAUACUAACGCAAGGAAAAAAUUUGAGGUGCGUGGGACUCGAACCCAGUACCUACUGGUGGCAACGCGUUGACGAGCUGAGCUACGGCGGUGCUGUGACAAAUAACGAUCUUGGACUACAUGAUCCUUAUCCUGUCGAUGACUGAAGGAAACCGAAAAUAGAGGCUCUGUUGAUGUGGCUAGAGACGCGGUGCAGGUCCCGCGGUGCGGAUGGGGAGUUUCAGGAAGGACAUGACAGCGGGGCAUGCUGUGGCUCCGCUGGCGUCCGGCCAAAGAGAUCUCUAGCGCAAGGCGCGGACGGCGGAGAGGCGAGUUGGAGGCGAGGUGGGGCGCUUGGGCCGCACGAUUCAUUCGCUGCUUCAUGGCUGACAACGCAAGGGACCUCGUGUCCAUGGCAACGAUGUAGUCACGCCAGUGGCAACGACGACACACACGUUAGCUAGGAAUGUGCCUGGUGGACAUUGGAGAAGCCAGAUCCAGGGGCAGGAUCCCUUUCCCAAUGGAGGCAGGGGCAGGAGGCGCUCGGAAUCAAGCUUCUGCUCGAGGGCGCCGUUGGGUCUCGUGGAGAGACACGAGAGAGAGAGAGAGAGAUUGAGCGAUGAGGGAUAGGGAGGCAAGGAGAGGGACGGGGCGUAGGAGACCUACUGGUGCGUUGGUUACUCCGUCGAGCAGUGCGAGACGAUGACUGGUGGAGCAAGGCUUGUGCACGAGGAACUCGAGGAGGCAUGCGCGCUGUCUGCUUGGAGCCGAGGCGCUCGGGCAGCUCACGUAGAGGAGAUCGACAUGGAUCCCUCGAUCUGGAUCAAGUGGGGCUUCGGCUGAUUGGGUCAGCACACAACAUAGGAGAGGCUCUACUAGAUAUGUGUGGUGGCUAUGAGGUGGAUCGGGGAGGAGCUCACUGGUUUGGCAGGAGCGCAGAACGCGAGGGACAGGGCGCUGGUUGGGAA